rnacentral:rRNA from 1 species
AUUGAACGCUGGCGGCAUGCCUUACACAUGCAAGUCGAACGGCAGCACGGGGGCAACCCUGGUGGCGAGUGGCGAACGGGUGAGUAAUACAUCGGAACGUGCCCAGUCGUGGGGGAUAACGUAGCGAAAGUUACGCUAAUACCGCAUACGAUCUCUGGAUGAAAGCGGGGGACCGCAAGGCCUUGCGCGAUUGGAGCGGCCGAUGGCAGAUUAGGUAGUUGGUGGGGUAAAAGCUUACCAAGCCUCCGAUCUGUAGCUGGUCUGAGAGGACGAUCAGCCACACUGGGACUGAGACACGGCCCAGACUCCUACGGGAGGCAGCAGUGGGGAAUUUUGGACAAUGGGCGAAAGCCUGAUCCAGCAAUGCCGCGUGCAGGACGAAGGCCUUCGGGUUGUAAACUGCUUUUGUACGGAGCGAAACGGCUUCCACUAAUACUGGGGGCUAAUGACGGUACCGUAAGAAUAAGCACCGGCUAACUAUGUGCCAGCCGCCGCGGUAA